AUGACGCGAUACGCUCUAAUAGCUCUCGUGAUGUUGAGUUGCUACCGCGCAUCAGUCGAUGGAGAUGAAACGUCAAGAGUGCUGGUGAGACUUCAGAACGAAGGCAGUAGUGAGAGUAAUUUUUUGAACCAAGAAGAAAACUCCGUUGUCAAGGACCAGGGCAAAUGGGUCAUCCUAGGAGUCAAUCAUGAAGAAGGGACGGGACAAAACCUUGUCGCCAGAGAUACGUCAUCGGAUGGCAAAGCAACUCGUAAUUGGACUGAUCGCAUUCCAACAGGAGGAUUCUUCAUAACCUCUCCGAAAAAGUGCCAAAACCGAUGCUCGCGGAUAUUCGGCUACUGGGAGGACCCAGCGGAGGAGAACCUGCUGAACCAGCCGAAAGUUGCCUCUGUCGGGAAAAUCUACUUCGGGGUUAAAUGUUCCUGCUUUGUGGACAAACGACUCAAGUCCCUGAUCACCGAAAAGUACGGCCCGAAUACCGCUAAGUAUUACACGUGGCUCUGUCGCUUUCGGUUGUUUGGAUUGAGGUACCGCAAGUAUUUCAACAAGGGGGACAAAGCGAUCCGAUUCGUUGGAUCUAGUGAGCUGGAAGGGUACAUUAAAGAGAAGCACGACGAAUGGACCAAAAUGAAAGAAGCCCAGGCAACGUUGGCUGCCCUGCCGGAUUAUUCCAACACGAAAAGGAAGUGAAGCGGGCAAAUGCGAUUUUGCAUGUUGGUAACACUGUUUUUCCUUAAUUUAAAUCCAUUGAAAAGAUCGAUUUUUAUCCAUUCAAUUUAAUCCAAUUUAAAGCCAUUGAAUAUAUCGAUUUUAGGUGAGGCAAACUGACUCACCAAGAAUCGAUCGUUUUACAUACAUUCAAAUGGAGAAAAUACAGUGUUGCCAACUUUCAAGAAUCGCCACUGGGAGUGGGUGCGAUUAUUAGCGGGGUCGAUUGAGAUCCUUCACGAGUAUCACAGUAAUAGUGAAAACUUUUACUUUCAGAGUAUUUGUACUUCCUCAUUUAACUACUCGAAAUAAAUUGGUUGAUUCUGUUCAGUGUGCUUUAUUGAUUUGACCGUGAUCAAUAGGCAAGAGCAGUGAGCUGAGGAAAUAGUAUAAAUUUGACAGAAUCAGCCUGAGUGCAUUUUGUGUUGCCUGAUUGUUAUCGUAUUUUAUUUUUUGAACAGAUAUUUGGAGAACUAGAAAACUUUAAAUUUUUCUCAGAUUAUGGAGAAUAUAGGUACUAACAUUUCAAUUGAACGUUGCUUCGUGUUCUGGUGAGGAAAACAAAUAGAGUUAAAACUAGGCAACGUUUGAUUUAGUCAGGCUGAUUCUGGUUUUAAAACCGUCCAAACUGUCACACCUCUGACGUAAGGUUGGACGUAUCUGUAUCAGUUGUGUGGCGUGCUGUGUGAUCUAUCGAUAUUUCCCCCUUUGAAGCUGUGUUAAAUAAUCGAUUAUUGAGGUGUUCGCUGCGAACACCCCGUUUAUCGAUACUUUUUUAUAGGUUUAAAUGGUCGAUCAACCGAUAUAUCGCAAAGCACGCCACGCCACUGAUUUUUAUUUCCACAUGAGCCCCAGAAAGCAUAGAAUUAUACAGAGAGCUCGGCUUACGUGGAAAUUUAGAUACACCCUUACGUUGGAGGAACGACGAAAUUAAUGGGAGGAAAAGAUUUUGGCUAAUUUGAGUAUCAGCUGUUAAUUGAAGUACAUUUUGCAAUUAGGAACUAUAUAUCUAUCUCAGCUUAGAAACAACGUAUGCGCCAUUAGCUUCCCUAUGCACAUUAAAGUUUUUACCCAUGAGCCAAAAAUUUUAAUUCUGAAUCGCAAAAUGUAGUCUCGAUUUCUAUCCCAUCUUCUGAUCUAUUCUAAAAUGCAUGAACCAAACUUCAUCAAUAAUUGGUAGGCCAAAUGCGAGGCGACUAACACUCCAAACUCGAGGAGGAGCCGGAGCCUCAUAGGGGGGAUAAUCUUCCUUCCUUGAAUUUGUGCUUCAGUGCCUUCAAAUUGAACGCCCUUUAAUUUUUUGACAUCCCCUUUCAAUUUACUACAUCCCCUCUGAGGGGUGAGUCACACGCUCCCCUGCCGAAAAUUCUGAUGUGCUGUUUUAUAGGCACGAUAAAUCUGACACCCGGCCACACAUUAAAAAGUCCAAGUUAAAACCGCACAAGUCCUUUAUGCGAUGAAAUCUAUAAUGCAGUAAUUCUUAUGUAGCUCAGAGCUGAUCGAAAAAUUGACUUUUUGGGUUUUACCAUGGAUCAUGGUCCGAACGAGCGGAGACAACUUCAGAAAGUUUAUGACUUCCGAUUGCACGCAGUUGCACUUGAUGACUUGAGAGGGACGGAGAGCGUAAAAUAGAAACGAAGUGGUCCAGUGAUAACAUUAACGACCAAUCAAUAAUAAACCGAAGAGAGGUCUAUUUUUCGGAGGUAAUGGAUCGUUUGACUAGUCGUUCUGGCUAAAGUUUUCAUUGCCCAGAAUUAGUUCCGACUUUCGAGACUUUUGUGUAUCGUAUAGUAUGCCAUAACUUUUACUUUUCCGGAUUUUACUGCGAAACAUCAAUGUGUUACCUAUACUUUCAUCAGGAAUGAAGAUUUUUUUCGGAUUUUUACCUGAUAGUUUUGGAUUUUGUCAAAAAGGUUUUUUGGAACUGCUGAAAUAAAUCGGAACUUCUCAAAAUGUUCGAUCAGUAUUUCCUUCUGGAACGUUGAUAGAAUUGUUCAACAAAGAAGUUGAGGUUGACCAUCAAUAUUUUUGUUUUUAGUGCGCUAUGUAUGUAUCCUUUUGAUCGAAAGAGACUGAUGUUCGCGAGAAGUGCGUCACUACCGGUGAAAAUGACAGCUCGUUCUUUGAUUGUCAAAUUGGAGACGAUAGGACUCUCCUUAUCCCGAUUAAGUUAAGAAAGAGUAAAUUCAUAGAAGAUGCUAAAAAUAGAAUGAUACGGGCAUUAUGAUUUCCUUGCGCAGAAGUUGAACUUGAGAUGAAAUACGAGUAGUAGUCGAAAAAUGGAAUAUGACUUCAUCUAGGACUAAAAAAGUCAGCAAUUUACAGAGUUUCUUAAAAAGUAAGGUCGACUCAUUUUUGUAGAAUAUUCAUGCAGCAAGCAUCAGGAGACGUGACGUCCAGUUUCAUGCCUGCUUGUUUUGAAAAACGUUUAAUGGCCUUUAAAUGCUCUGCUCUACCACAGGAAGCGUGGACACCUGAAUUUAUUGCUUUUGGCAUUAUAAAUACGCUACUUAGAGGUAAUAAAAGGAGGAAUACCGCAAGAAGAUGCUGGUUAAAAUGACUGAACUUGGUUUUAUUUUCUGCUUCUAGCACCGUAAAAUGUACUCCUUUACUUACAAAAAGGACGUGUUUUAUCAGUUAGCAAACCACUGUUUAGCGUCAUAUUAUUAGGAAAAUAUAUUCUAAACAUAUGCAAUUUUGUGGCAACGUUGGGAAUAAGUGCAGCAGGUGGAAACCGUCAAAAGUUGGCAACAGAACCGCCAUCUAAUCCAAAGUUGCAGUCAUUCUUGAGCCUUGAAACCAUCAUGGUAGCAGGUGUCCAUACUUUCUCUGUGAUGUUACUCUACUCUCACUUAACGCGUCCGCUCGAGAUAAACAAAGCAUGCAAGGGAGUUACAAAUUGUCUUAUCCCUACAUUAAGUUCCUGUGCAGUUUUACUUAGAAAAUGAUCCACUAGACGGAGUAAGAAUGAAAGCACCAAAAGACAUGUUUCCUCAUCAAAAGUUUCCAAAAACAUAGAUAUUAAAACUAAUGAACAAGCUAAUUUGUGGAGUUUUUGCAAAAUAUUUACACAGACACUAAAAGUUAUCACAAAAAGGAUGAACUUGCAGAACAGCUCCUACUCUCAUUUUUUUAAGGAGUCUUAGUUUAAACGUGGACUGAUUCAUGUAGUGUGGUGUUUAAUUUGGACCGCGUUAAGCAGAAAGAAAUCAAGCCACAUCAACUGUUGCUAAAUUUAAUUAGAUUAUUUAAUGUUUUACAUGAAAACGGUUGUGCGAAUAUUUGUGCAAAUUUUAGUGAAUUUGCUGCAUAGUACGAAGCAAAUUCCACAAAAUUUUCGAAGGAAUCCACACAAACGUUCUUUUGUAAAAAAACAAAAUUGCCCAGUUAAAUAUGAACGUAUUUCUGUCAAACGGAACUAUGUGCAUUAUGACGUGAGCCCUGGUAUGCAUGUGCUCUUGUGGGUCUCAGGGCUCAUGUCCUAAUGCACAUAGUUCCGUUUGAUAGAAAUACGUCCAUAUGGCAGUAGCUGAUGUGGUUUGCUUCCUUUCUGCUGAACGCAGAACAUUUCUUACUCUCGGCAGUGAUGCCUAGAGCAAUAAUCAUAGAUAGAAUUGGAGUACAACUCACCACAUUGGCCGGAGUAUCGGACCCGGAUGCUCCUCUGCGUGCGACAAGCGGCCAAUCGGAGGUGACACAGACUGCGAUACGUGUUCCCGUCCGAGCCGCAAACUGAGGGACCGCCCCCCUCGGGGCACUCCGCUGGGCAAUGACAACGAGCGUCGCCCCUCUCGUCCGCCGAGCAUAGCGCCCCGUGGGCGCACGUUGUCUUUUCACAGGGCUCUGAAACAAAUAAAUCCACCAAAAUUGAAAUCGUUUCCUCUAUUUCCUUCAUUUUUUCAUGUAAAAUUCCUUUAAAUUUGUGUGAAAUUAGAAAAUUAAAGAUUUGCCAGGAGAAAUUUGGCAACGCCAGAGGGCUCAUACGGCGUUUUUCCUUAGCACGAAAGAUUAGUAAAGCGUGCUGCUCGAUAAAAUCGUCUAUUGAUGCUAGUACUGCGCGUGAGGCGUGGCGUGACGGAAUGGACCACUAGACAAGGUACGGAUUUCAGCAAUCUGAUACAUGUUUCUUAACCAGAAUUUCACGUAAAGCACGAUUCGCGCAACGAAUAUUACUGAAACUAACUCCUAACGGAGAAAUCAACGUUUUUAUUUCACAUUGGUUUCGAGGGAUUUUAACUGCCUGCUCACAAGAAACUCAAAGCUCUACGUGAGUCAAAUCGCACGCUAAAACGGUUUCAGCAAGCUUCUCAAUCGAGGAAUGUUCAUUUCCCACCAUGUGUUGUUCAAACUAUUAUCAAUUUGCUACAGCUGAGCCAAAGCGUCAAGAUUGAGGUUGCCAGAUUUUUAAAUCGCAGAGACUGUCAUGAUAAACGUUUAGCGCGCGAUGUGAAUCACGUAGAGCAUUGAGUUUCCAUGACCGGGUGGUUUGAAUUCACGCACCAAGAAUCAUUUUUGUAAGAAGUUGAUUUCGGUAAUUUUCGUUGUAAGCAUCGUGUUUUACGUGAAAUUUUGAUUAAGAAACAUGUAUCAGAAUGCUGAAAUCCGUACCUUGUCUAGUGGUCCAUUAGGGAGAUUAAUCAUGGGUGCACGCCAAUACUCAAUGUCAGGUACGCGGCCGUAUGAGUUGUGUAAGAUUCGUCUUUUUUUCUUUUCAUUUUUCUUUUAGUGUAUGU
rnacentral:lncRNA from 1 species